rnacentral:rRNA from 1 species
GAUGAACGCUGGCGGCGUGCCUAAUACAUGCCAGUCGAGCGAACGGACGAGAAGCUUGCUUCUCUGAUGUUAGCGGCGGACGGGUGAGUAACACGUGGAUAACCUACCUAUAAGACUGGGAUAACUUCGGGAAACCGGAGCUAAUACCGGAUAAUAUUUUGAACCGCAUGGUUCAAAAGUGAAAGACGGUCUUGCUGUCACUUAUAGAUGGAUCCGCGCUGCAUUAGCUAGUUGGUAAGGUAACGGCUUACCAAGGCAACGAUGCAUAGCCGACCUGAGAGGGUGAUCGGCCACACUGGAACUGAGACACGGUCCAGACUCCUACGGGAGGCAGCAGUAGGGAAUCUUCCGCAAUGGGCGAAAGCCUGACGGAGCAACGCCGCGUGAGUGAUGAAGGUCUUCGGAUCGUAAAACUCUGUUAUUAGGGAAGAACAUAUGUGUAAGUAACUGUGCACAUCUUGACGAUACCUAAUCAGAAAGCCACGGCUAACUACGUG